UCUCUAGAAGCGAAUAAACAGAGAGAUAAAAAGAGCUCAUCUUUCUCUCUCUAGAAAAGAAGACAGCAGCCAAAAAUGUACGCGAUCAAUGACAGUUCCGACGUCAACAAGUACUGCCCCGCAUUCAAGACUCCUGUCCGCGGCGCCAUCACACGCCGUAUCUUCUCCGACCUAUUUUGCAUGAUGACGUCAACUCUCCGAUGCGCCGUCGGUUUCUUCGCGGUGCGUCACCCGCCGCAUUGAUCGCUCAGAUAUCGAAAUCUC
rnacentral:lncRNA from 1 species